UGGGGAAUUUUGGACAAUGGGCGAAGCCUGAUCCAGCAAUGCCGCGUGUGUGAAGAAGGCCUUCGGGUUGUAAAGCACUUUUGUCCGGAAAGAAAUCCUUGGCUCUAAUACAGUCGGGGGAUGACGGUACCGGAAGAAUAAGCACCGGCUAACUACGUGCCAGCAGCCGCGGUAAUACGUAGGGUGCAAGCGUUAAUCGGAAUUACUGGGCGUAAAGCGUGCGCAGGCGGUUUGCUAAGACCGAUGUGAAAUCCCCGGGCUCAACCUGGGAACUGCAUUGGUGACUGGCAGGCUAGAGUAUGGCAGAGGGGGGUAGAAUUCCACGUGUAGCAGUGAAAUGCGUAGAGAUGUGGAGGAAUACCGAUGGCGAAGGCAGCCCCCUGGGCAAUACUGACGCUCAUGCACGAAAGCGUGGGGAGCAAACAGGAUUAGAUACCCUGGUAGUCCACGCCCUAAAACGAUGUCAACUAGUUGUUGGGGAUUCAUUUUCCUUAGGUAACGUAGCUAACGCGUGAAGUUGACCGCCUGGGGAGUAACGGUCGCAAGAUUAAAACUCAAAUGAAUUGAC
rnacentral:rRNA from 1 species